rnacentral:antisense_RNA from 1 species
CUUGAGGGAGCCCAGCCACAGGGGCUGGUCGGCGGUGUGGGCCUGCCCGUAGGUGGCGAGCAGGGCCCCGGCCUC